GACGAACGCCGGCGGCGUGCUUAACACAUGCCAGUCGAACGGAAAGGCCCUGCUUUUGUGGGGUGCUCGAGUGGCGAACGGGUGAGUAACACGUGAGUAACCUGCCCUUGACUUUGGGAUAACUUCAGGAAACUGGGGCUAAUACCGGAUAGGAGCUCCUGCUGCAUGGUGGGGGUUGGAAAGUUUCGGCGGUUGGGGAUGGACUCGCGGCUUAUCAGCUUGUUGGUGGGGUAGUGGCUUACCAAGGCUUUGACGGGUAGCCGGCCUGAGAGGGUGACCGGCCACAUUGGGACUGAGAUACGGCCCAGACUCCUACGGGAGGCAGCAGUGGGGAAUAUUGCACAAUGGGCGGAAGCCUGAUGCAGCAACGCCGCGUGCGGGAUGACGGCCUUCGGGUUGUAAACCGCUUCCGCCUGUGACGAAGCGUGAGUGACGGUAAUGGGUAAAGAAGCACCGGCUAACUACGUG
rnacentral:rRNA from 1 species